CCUACGGGAGGCAGCAGUGGGGAAUAUUGCGCAAUGGGGGAAACCCUGACGCAGCAACGCCGCGUGAGUGAGGAAGGACUUCGGUCUGUAAAGCUCUGUUAAUGUGGAAAAAUGGUAGUUGGUCUAAUAGGCCGAUUAUUUGAUGGUACACAUAGAGGAAGCACCGGCUAACUUCGUGCCAGCAGCCGCGGUAAUACGAAGGGUGCAAGCGUUGUUCGGAUUUAUUGGGCGUAAAGCGCGCGUAGGCGGACCUGCAAGUCAGAUGUGAAAUCUCGGGGCUCAACCUCGAAACUGCGUCUGAAACUACAGGUCUAGAAUCUUGGAGGGGGUAAGGGGAAUUUCUCAUGUAGGGGUAAAACUCCGUAGAUAUGAGAAGGAACACCAGAGGCGAAGGCGCCUUCCUGGACAAGUAUUGACGCUGAGGCGCGAAAGCGUGGGGAUCAAACGAGGAUUAGAUACCCGUGGUAGUCCACGCUAGUAAACGAUAGAACUACUAGAUAUUGUCAGGUAGUUAGUACCCGACGCAGUGUCGUAGCUACGACGUUAAGUUAGUUCCGUCCGUCGGAGGUACGGUCGCGAGACGUAAACGUUAAACGUAAGUAGUACGGCGUGAGACGUAGACGACGGACGACGACGAGGGAGGAGG
rnacentral:rRNA from 1 species